rnacentral:rRNA from 1 species
UAGAGUUUGAUCAUGGCUCAGAACGAACGCUGGCGGCAGGCCUAACACAUGCAAGUCGAGCGCGCCCUUCGGGGUGAGCGGCGGACGGGUUAGUAACGCGUGGGAACGUGCCCUUUUCUAAGGAAUAGCCACUGGAAACGGUGAGUAAUACCUUAUACGCCCUUCGGGGGAAAGAUUUAUCGGAGAAGGAUCGGCCCGCGUUAGAUUAGGUAGUUGGUGGGGUAAUGGCCUACCAAGCCUACGAUCUAUAGCUGGUUUGAGAGGAUGAUCAGCAACACUGGGACUGAGACACGGCCCAGACUUCUACGGAAGGCAGCAGUGGGGAAUCUUGGACAAUGGGCGCAAGCCUGAUCCAGCCAUGCCGCGUGAGUGAUGAAGGCCUUAGGGUCGUAAAGCUCUUUCGCCUGUGAAGAUAAUGACGGUAGCAGGUAAAGAAACCCCGGCUAACUCCGUGCCAGCAGCCGCGGUAAUACGGAGGGGGUUAGCGUUGUUCGGAAUUACUGGGCGUAAAGCGCGCGUAGGCGGACUAUUAAGUCAGGGGUGAAAUCCCGGGGCUCAACCCCGGAACUGCCCUUGAUACUGGUAGUCUUGAGUUCGAGAGAGGUGAGUGGAAUUCCGAGUGUAGAGGUGAAAUUCGUAGAUAUUCGGA